AAGAUAAUGGGGAUUAUAGCUUUUCUCAUGGAUCUUAUACACCAGGUUGUACCCUCCGUACCGGCAAGGGACCCUUUGGUAUUCAACGUCAACCACACCAAAAGAGUAGAGCUGAAACUCUGUGCCGGGUCGCGCCAUACGUCCAUACGCCUUAGGGCUAAAUAUGAAGUCCGUACCAUCUCCUUCUCCGUAGUCCGUAGCCACUACGUAUACUCCUUCCUCAUUGCAGUGUGGAGAUAUGAUGGCUCCAUGGACACAAGCCACGACUCUAGUAAUUAUGUGCUUGCCUAAACACGUUUUCGCAUAUGUUUUUGUGGCGGCAUUCCAUAAACUUACAUUCAAAGACAAUGGACUUGAAACUGUUUUUGAAGUGAGAAGAGAAAAAGAGAUGGAUAUGUUGAAAAAUUAUUCAUGGCCUCGACCAGUAGGAUAAUAACACAUAUGCUACAUUAUGUGGUUGAUGCAUUCUCGCCUUUAACCAUUGUAGAUAACUAAAUACCGUGUGUAUACCAUAUUCUACAUUUUGAAAAUCAGUGUAGAAAAUUAUGUAUAUAUAAUUUAAUCAUCAGAAAAAACUGAGUAAGUAAA